GCAAGUCUACUUGAAUUUUAGCUUCGGUUAAAUGGAUGGUGGCGAACGGGUGAGUAAUGCGUAGAUAAUCUGCCCUUUAGACUGGGAUAAGCUCGGGAAACUGAGUCUAAUACCGGAUGUUAUGUUUUUUUCGCAUGGAAAGAACAUCAAAGAACUUGAUUCGCUAAAGGAUGAGUCUGCGUGGCAUUAGCUAGUUGGUGAGGUAACAGCUCACCAAGGCAUCGAUGCCUAGCUGGUCUGAGAGGAUGAUC
rnacentral:rRNA from 1 species